AUCUUCUGGUAAUGGUCCGGCAAUAGGCUUUAUCUUCUUAUCUGCCGUUUUAUAUCUCGUCUCUACAGUGACUUCUGGUGCUUGAAAAGAUUCAAGUAUGGUAUAAACCUCUCUUGAAUGCAUCUCAACAAUCUUAUCAUUAUCCCCUAACCCAAUAGAUGUAAUCAAUUCCAAUGAAUCUUCCAGUCCAUUUUCUUCAUAAAUACCUAAAAUCCUCUCAUCAUCUUGCAAUGUACCUAACUUGCGUAAUUUUCCUUCAAUAUUAUAUAAUCUUUUUCUUUCUUUUCUUUUAAAAUCAUCAACUUUCUUAUACAUAAUAUUUCCAUUCUCCAAUAUACCAAUAAAACUCGCAUCAAAGGCACCUUCAUCUCGCGAGAGUACCUCCUCUUUUGUACCUCCAUAAUCUCGCUUUACAG
rnacentral:lncRNA from 1 species